rnacentral:rRNA from 1 species
UACGGAGGAUUCAAGCGUUAUCCGGAUUUAUUGGGUUUAAAGGGUGCGUAGGCGGUUUGAUAAGUUAGAGGUGAAAUCCCGGGGCCUAACUCCGGAACUGCCUCUAAUACUGUUAGACUAGAGAGUAGUUGCGGUAGGCGGAAUGUAUGGUGUAGCGGUGAAAUGCUUAGAGAUCAUACAGAACACCGAUUGCGAAGGCAGCUUACCAAACUACAUCUGACGUUGAGGCACGAAAGCGUGGGGAGCAAACAGG